rnacentral:rRNA from 1 species
GGCUCAGGAUGAACACUAGCGGCAGGCUUAACACAUGCAAGUCGAAGGGCAUCGCGGGGAGUGCUUGCACUCCCUGGCGGCGACUGGCGCACGGGUGAGUAACACGUAUGCAACCUGCCCUCCACAGGGGGACAACCUUCCGAAAGGGAGGCUAAUCCCGCGUAAAUCUCGAUGGGGCAUCCCAUUGAGAGGAAAGCUUCGGCGGUGGAGGAUGGGCAUGCGGCGCAUUAGCUAGUCGGCGGGGUAACGGCCCACCGAGGCGACGAUGCGUAGGGGUUCUGAGAGGAAGGUCCCCCACACUGGUACUGAGACACGGACCAGACUCCUACGGGAGGCAGCAGUGAGGAAUAUUGGUCAAUGGGCGGGAGCCUGAACCAGCCAAGCCGCGUGAGGGAAUAAGGCCCUAUGGGUCGUAAACCUCUUUUGUCGGGGAACAAAAGCGGGGACGCGUCCCCGUCUGCGUGUACCCGAAGAAAAAGCAUCGGCUAACUCCGUGCCAGCAGCCGCGGUAAUACGGAGGAUGCGAGCGUUAUCCGGAUUUAUUGGGUUUAAAGGGUGCGUAGGCGGUAUGGUAAGUCAGCGGUAAAAGCCCGGGGCUCAACCCCGGCGAGCCGUUGAAACUGCCGUGCUAGAGAGGAAGAGAAGUAGGCGGAAUGCGCAGUGUAGCGGUGAAAUGCUUAGAUAUUGCGCAGAACUCCGAUUGCGAAGGCAGCCUACCGGCUUCUGUCUGACGCUGAGGCACGAAAGCGUGGGUAUCGAACAGGAUUAGAUACCCUGGUAGUCCACGCAGUAAACGAUGAA